UACGUAGGGGGCGAGCGUUGUCCGGAUUUAUUGGGCGUAAAGAGCUCGUAGGCGGCUUGGCAAGUCGGGUGUGAAACCUCCAGCUCAACCUGGAGACGCCACUCCGAUACUGCCAUGGCUAGAGUCCGGUAGGGGACCACGGAAGUUCCUGGUGAGCGGUGAAAUGCGCAGAUAAUCAGGAGGAACACCAAUAGCGAAGGCAGCUCGCUGGGACGGUACUGACGCUGGAGACGCGAAAGCGUGGGGAGCGAACAGG
rnacentral:rRNA from 1 species